rnacentral:snoRNA from 1 species
UCGUUAAGAUUCAUUUUAUUGUAGUUUCCACCAGAACUCUUUGUGUUGGCAAGUUCCUUCCUUGGAUGUCUGAGCGA